ACGGGUGCGUAACACGUGGGAAUCUGCCCUUCGGUUCGGAAUAACAGUUAGAAAUGACUGCUAAUACCGGAUGAUGACGAAAGUCCAAAGAUUUAUCGCCGAAGGAUGAGCCCGCGUAGGAUUAGGUAGUUGGUGGGGUAAUGGCCCACCAAGCCGACGAUCCUUAGCUGGUCUGAGAGGAUGAUCAGCCACACUGGGACUGAGACACGGCCCAGACUCCUACGGGAGGCAGCAGUGGGGAAUAUUGGACAAUGGGCGAAAGCCUGAUCCAGCAAUGCCGCGUGAGUGAUGAAGGCCUUAGGGUUGUAAAGCUCUUUUACCAGGGAUGAUAAUGACAGUACCUGGAGAAUAAGCUCCGGCUAACUCCGUGCCAGCAGCCGCGGUAAUACGGAGGGAGCUAGCGUUGUUCGGAAUUACUGGGCGUAAAGCGCACGUAGGCGGCUACUCAAGUCGGGGGUGAAAGCCCGGGGCUCAACCCCGGAACUGCCCUCGAAACUAGGUGGCUAGAAUCUUGGAGAGGUCAGUGGAAUUCCGAGUGUAGAGGUGAAAUUCGUAGA
rnacentral:rRNA from 8 species